rnacentral:rRNA from 1 species
UACGGAAGGCAGCAGUGGGGAAUAUUGCACAAUGGGCGCAAGCCUGAUGCAGCCAUGCCGCGUGUAUGAAAAAGGCCUUCGGGUUGUAAAGUACUUUCAGUCGUGAGGAAGGUGUUAAGGUUAAUAACCUUAGCAAUUGACGUUAGCGACAGAAGAAGCACCGGCUAACUCCGUGCCAGCAGCCGCGGUAAUACGGAGGGUGCGAGCGUUAAUCGGAAUUACUGGGCGUAAAGGGCACGCAGGCGGUUAAUUAAGUUGGAUGUGAAAUCCCCGGGCUUAACCUGGGAAUGGCAUUCAAGACUGGUUAGCUAGAGUCUUGUAGAGGGGGUAGAAUUCCAUGUGUAAGCGGUGAAAUGCGUAGAGAUGUGGAGGAAUACCGGUGGCGAAAGGCGGCCCCUGGACAAAGACUGACGCUCAUGUGCGAAAGCGUGGGGAGCAAACAGGGAUUAGAUACC